rnacentral:misc_RNA from 1 species
GGAAUGGAGAGUGGUUUGGGUAUGUAUUUAUAGUAUUUUUUUUUGAUAUUUGAGGUAUAGUAAAUUUAGUAUAGUGUGUUUUGUUAGUGAUAUUGUUGUUUAUUAGUUAUUAAGUCGUGUGUGAUUUUUUGUAGUUUUAUGGAUUAUAGUAUGUUAAGGUUUUUUGUUUAUUAUAGUUUUUUAGAGUUUUUUUAAAGUUACGUUUAUUG